rnacentral:misc_RNA from 1 species
UCUCCGUAGGUGAACCUGCGGAGGGAUCAUUACUGAGUGAGGGCUUCGGUCCGACCUCCAACUCUUUGUGAACCAAACUUGUUGCUUCGGGGGCGACCCUGCCGCUUCGGCGGUGCGUCGCCCCCGGAGGCCAUUAAACACUGCAUCAUUGCGUCGGAGUUAAAGUAAAUUAAACAAUACAUCCAACAACGGAUCUCUUGGUUCCAGCAUCGAUGAAGAACGAAGC